GGUGGUUCGGUGGUAGAGCACUUGCCUUGCAUGCAUGAGGCCCUGGGUUCAAUUCCUCAGCACCA
rnacentral:tRNA from 1 species